UUUCUUCCAUCCUUAUUUCCUUACUUACCUACCUCCUUCCUUCCUUAUUUCUUUAUUUCCUUCCUUACCUCCUUCCUUCCUCACUUCCUUUUCUUCCUUCCUUCCUUAAUUACUUCCUUCCUCCCUUAUUUCCUUCCUAAUUUACUUCCUUCCUUACCCCCUUUCCUUCCUUCCUCCCUUCCUUACCUCCUUCUGUCUUUCCUUCCUUCCUUCUGUCAAUCCUUCCUUCCUAACUUUACUCCUUCGUUCCUUAUUUCUUUAUUUUCUUCUUUCCUUCCUUCCUCACUUCCUUUCCUUCUUUCCUUCCUUCCUUCCUUACCUCUUUCCUUCCUUCCUCCCUUCCGUCCUUACAUCCUUCCUUUCUAAAUUCUGGUUUUGUCCUGAUUUUAGUCCUGGUUUUGACCUGGUUAUAGUUGUUUUAGUUCUGAUUUUAGACCUGAUUUUAGACCUGGUUUUAGUCCUGGUUUAGUCUUGGUUUUUGUUGCGAUAUAAUUUUACAGCUCAUACAAGCACACACAAUUACGAUUUCAAUACUGUUGCAGAUGUGUACAGAUGUGGACCAUUAUUUUUUCUUCACGUGUGUGUCGUGGCUCCCAGUGGCUCUUUGGCGCCCCCCCUCACCUACUGAAAACCUCUGUGAUAUAUGAUACAUAUAUAUAUGGCCUAGCCCUCGGGUGUAACUUUAGUUGCCAUAUACUAAGGAAACAUGAUAUCAUAGAGAGCCUUUUUGGGUUUAAAGAGUAAGUAAGUAAGUAAGUCUUUAUUUAUAUAGAGCUUUUCACAGACAUUUUGUCACAAAGACGCUUUACAGAGUAUUAUUCAUUCACUCUAUACCUAUAUAAGAGGGUGUAUUAUGCAAAAUCUACUACUACGACUACUCUGGAACCUUCUGCCAUGUUACAAUGUCCCAUUAUACAUAAAACAUGUCUAAAAAGUCAUCCAUGCCUAACUAAUCUAGUGAUCUAUCCCAGGCACUAUUUUAACCUUUCUUAUGGUUAGUAGAUUCAUUCUAUCCAAUGUUAAGCCCACAAUAGAUACAAGAAGGAUACAGAAUAAUCCACUACAAUUUGACAAACAUGCUGUGCAGUAGUGUCAUUAGCAGGACACAUGCAAGAGCAAGGACGCGGCUAUAGAAAAAAAAUUGUAUGUGUGUUAACAGGUAAUAAAAAUAUGUGUAUUUAAAAAAAAAGUAUAAUAAUAAUCAGGCAUGAUUAUGAAUGUCUACAGAAUGGUCAGUAGGAAGGUGGACUUAGCUGAAUUAAAAUAAUUAAAACUGAAUUUAACAUUAGAAUAAUACAAAACUGGAGGUAAGCAUUUGUAAGGAAGGAACUUGUGAUAGAAAAAGCUCAAAAAUUUCACAUGGAGUAAACUUUUUGGCUCUUUCUCUUAGUAAACUCACACACCCUGAUCGGCCACCUUCCUACGCUUUGUGGGCGGUUCCUUUGUAUAUCCUAUUAUCAACACAUCCUCAUCCUCCCAUCCUGGAACACAGACAUACCUCAGAGAAGGACCAUCAAACUCUACACAGCAUGAAAGUCUAUGAGAAAGAUGAAUGGGCAAUAUAAGAGAGUGGGCGACCACAGCUGAGCUCCAUAAAUACUUCCCUUUCCAUGCACACGACCCCCUCCUCUGGGGGGAUCCGAAGGCGUUCCCAGGCCAGCCCAGAGACAUCAGUCCCUCAAGCAUGUCCUGGGUCUUCCCCAGGGCCUCCUCCUGGUGGGACGUGCCCAGAACACCACCCAAGGGAGGCAUCCAGGAGGCGUCCAUUUCGGCUGCUUGUAUCCGCGAUCUUGUCAUUUCGGUCAUUACCCAAAGCUCAUGACCAUAGGUGAGGGUAGGAACGUAGACAUUGACCGAUAAAUCAACCCUCUUCACCACAACGGUCCAAUACAGCGACCGCAUCACUGCCGACACUACAUCGAUCCACCUGUCAAUCUCAUGCUCCAUCCUCCCCUCAUUCGUGAACAAGACCCCGAGAUACUUGAACUCCUCCACUUGAGGCAAGGACUCUCCACCCACCCGGAGAGGGCAAGCCACCUUUUACCAGUUGAGAACCAUGACCUCGGAUUUGGAGGAGCUGAUCUUCAUCCCAGUCGCUUCACACUUGCCUGUAAACCGCCCCAGUGCAUGUUGAAGGUCCUGGUUUGAUGAAGCCGCCAGGACAAAAUCAUCUGCGAACAGCAGAGAUGAGAUCCUGUUGUCCCCAAACUGGAACCCCUCCGGAUCCCCUGACCAGGAUCAAACCUGAACUAAACCAGGUCUAAAACAGGUCCACACAAGGUCUAAACCAGAACUAUACCAGGACUAAAUCAGGACUAAACUACGGUUGUGUUCUCAUUUGCACGUUGACCACAUCAGAAUUGGGUCUAAACCAGGUCUAAAGCAAGAUUAAACCAGAACUAAACUAGGACUAAACCAGGUCCGAAACACUGGUCCCGUCUGCUCCUCCAAAUCUAGAAUCCACAACACCUAAAUCUGAUCAAUGGAAGCUACAAGAACGUGGAUUUAUUUUGGAGGUAAACAUUAAGAGAUGACAUUCAGACAAAUAAAUUCUGUUAUGAACCAUGUUAACUGAAAAUGUCACUCCCCUGCCUGU